GGGGAGGAGCCUGGGAAUGGGUACCACCUGGAGUGGCGAGGGCCCUUCUUCGGCCUGAGGGGGACGCUGCACUAGAACACUGUCACACUCUGACUAAGAAACCCUGAGGACAUUCAGAUGAACACCCAGACACUCCUGUUGCAGGGUUCUGUGAUAGUGAUUGUUCGGAAAGUAAAAUAAGGAAAUAUUUAUUUUCUGUAAAUAUUGUAAACGCACCAGACUAGUGAUAAUGACGAAGACAAUAAAAAUUACAGACGCUCGGCUCUGCGGAGCAACAUAAUUUAAUAAUUGUGAAAUCCUUCCUGUUCUGGGUUUGUUUUGUUAGGACUAUGCCGAUUAUUAUUCAUGUCACAUUUUGCUGUAAUUUAUUUUUGUUUGAAUCGUGUAUUUAUUUUGUAAAUGUAUCGAGGUGCUGCUGACCUUCUAUAUUUUUGUACCAUAAUGCACUUUUAGAUUUAUAAAUAUAUAUAUAUAUAUAUAUAUAUAUAUACAUAUAUAUAUAUAUAUAUAGACAAGUAAUUUUGUUAAUUGACUUUUUGUGGUUGAUUGAAAUGAAGAAAACAUUGUUGGUCAUUCCUCCGUGUUAUCUAGGCUCCUUCUCUGCACGGUUCUAUAGUGAUCACAUGACUCGUCUGUCCGCUCUGACUGGCCCACAGACGUCUAAUCUAGUUGGCUGUUGACCAGGGGCGUGUUCAAUAGGCAAACUAUGGAAAAUGUUUAAAAAUGUUUUACAAAAUAGGAAAUCCAAGAAAUUAGCAUUUCUAAUUGGACUAAAGUCCAGCUAGUCCCCUCCCCGUUCCAGAUGGUUCUCUUCAGUUCGAUACCUAACGAACACGACCCAGGACGACCCACGCAGCUGUCCUCAACCCCUGACCCCUAACCUCUGUACAUUGUGCUUCAACUCCCCCCUCCGUCAGUUGGUCCACUGGGAACCACCUUGUCUUUCUCCUGUUAAGUUCAAAGUUCACUCGGCCUGUACAUAACCUGAACACAAAGCAACAACUUCAUAUCGUUGUUUGGCCCUUGCACUGAGAGACUACCCUAUAUUGAAUGGAUUAAACAGUAUCUCCCCUGA